rnacentral:rRNA from 1 species
AUUGAACGCUGGCGGCAUGCCUUACACAUGCAAGUCGAACGGCAGCACGGGUGCUUGCACCUGGUGGCGAGUGGCGAACGGGUGAGUAAUAUAUCGGAACGUACCUUAUUGUGGGGGAUAACGCAGCGAAAGCUGUGCUAAUACCGCAUAACCCCUAAGGGGGAAAGCGGGGGACCGUAAGGCCUCGCGCAAUUAGAGCGGCCGAUACCUGAUUAGCUAGUUGGUGAGGUAAAGGCUCACCAAGGCAACGAUCAGUAGCUGGUCUGAGAGGACGAUCAGCCACACUGGGACUGAGACACGGCCCAGACUCCUCCGGGAGGCAGCAGUGGGGAAUUUUGGACAAUGGGGGCAACCCUGAUCCAGCAAUGCCGCGUGAGUGAAGAAGGCCUUCGGGUUGUAAAGCUCUUUUGUCAGGGAAGAAACAGCAGCUCUAACACAGUUUGCGAAUGACGGUACCUGAAGAAUAAGCACCGGCUAACUACGUGCCAGCCGCCGCUGUAA